rnacentral:rRNA from 1 species
AUUGAACGCUGGCGGCAUGCCUAACACAUGCAAGUCGAACGGCAGCACGGUCUAGCUUGCUAGACUGGUGGCGAGUGGCGCACGGGUGAGUAAUGCGUAGGAAUAUGCCUUGAAGUGGGGGAUAACUUGGGGAAACUCAAGCUAAUACCGCAUAAUCUCUAAGGAGGAAAGCUGGGGACCUUCGGGCCUGGCGCUUUAAGAUUAGCCUACGUCCGAUUAGCUAGUUGGUAGGGUAAAGGCCUACCAAGGCGACGAUCGGUAGCUGGUCUGAGAGGAUGAUCAGCCACACUGGGACUGAGACACGGCCCAGACUCCUACGGGAGGCAGCAGUGGGGAAUAUUGGACAAUGGGGGCAACCCUGAUCCAGCGAUGCCGCGUGUGUGAAGAAGGCCUACGGGUUGUAAAGCACUUUCGGUGGGGAGGAGGAUUCAUAGGUUAAGAGCUAAUGGAUUGGACGUUACCCACAAAAGAAGCACCGGCUAACUCCGUGCCAGCAGCCGCGGUAAUAC